rnacentral:rRNA from 1 species
UACAGAGGGUGCAGGCGUUGUUCGGAAUUACUGGGCGUAAAGGGCGUGUAGGCGGCCUUGCAAGUCAGAUGUGAAAUCCCGGGGCUUAACUCCGGAAGUGCAUUUGAAACUGCAAGGCUAGAGUGCUGUAGAGGAUGGCGGAAUACCCAGUGGAGAGGUGAAAUUCGUAGAUAUUGGGUAGAACACCGGUGGCGAAGGCGGCCAUCUGGGCAGCAACUGACGCUGAGGCGCGAGAGCGUGGGGAGCAAACAGG